rnacentral:lncRNA from 1 species
AGAAAAUAAAAAGACAUAAAGUUUAUCUAAAACCUAAACUAAUUUAAAAUAAAAGAAAAUAAAAAAAAACAUAAAGUUUAUCUAAAACCUAAACUAAUUUAAAAUAAAAGAAAAUAAAAUAAAUAAAAAAACAUAAAGUUUAUCUAAAACCUAAACUAAUUUAAAAUAAAAUAAAGAAAAAUAAAAUAAUAAAAAAAAAUAUGAAAACGGUGCAGCCAUAUGCAAAUUAAAUGCAUGAUAAAGAAAACUAAAAAUGAGAAGCAUUGAAUACAUGAUAAAGAAAAUUAAAAAAAUGAGAAACCGUGCACCACAUGCUUGAAACCAAAUGAACGUGAGCUUUCUUCCAACCAAGUCAAUAAAUUCUAAAAAAACUAUGAAAGCAAACUGUGACACUUCUAGGAGAAAGGAAUUAAAUUACUCAACAAAAAGAAGAUAAUUCCAACCAUCGUACACCUACUUCUACCUAGGCUAUCACUUCAAAAUAGUAGAAUAAAACAUGCUUCAUUUCUUCACGGUAAUCAGUGAUUUGAUUUAUGAAAUAGUAAGAAAGCUUCUACCAGUUCACACUGCACCUCCUAUUCAAUUAAAAUAAACUUGCACUUAAUGAAAAUGAAAUGGAAUUUGUGUGGCACCGUGG